rnacentral:lncRNA from 1 species
UCCUCCUUUCGACCCUGUUCUUCUUCUGCUGGGAGUUCGUCCUGGAGAGCUGAUAACCCUCGAGAAAUGCCCCGUGCUUGCCGACGACGAAGCGCAGAAAGGGAAAAGACAGAGAGAUCGAGAAAACCCUUGUUCUGCUUCUCCUACUACUCUUGUGGAGGCAAGAAGAGAGCUGAUCGAUGGCGACGAGUUAUCCGCAUGCAGCGUCUCCUCUGCAGCAGCAUCAACAGCAGACAGGUGAGUUUGGAGUCGGACACGGCAACGCUUCUUUUCUUGGGCCUUCUUCCGUUCUUUUCUUCUGUGAAUCGCCUUCCGUCGAUGAUGCCGUCUUCGAUCGUUUUCGCUUCCAAGAUGUGGUCUUUAUCGUAUUCACAUCCAAGAUGUGGUAUUCCAUCGUUUUCUCAUCCGGGAUCGCAUCUUUUUCCUUCGACAUGAUUACUCGCUCUUCUAUUUUCGUCUCUAUUUCUUCGUCCGAAUCACCCAUUUUUGCUAGGGUUUGUGAAUGCUUGCUCUUAUUCUCAUUCCACUAGGUACUGCUGCUGAAUCAAUCCUCAAAGAGAAAGCAGCUGUCGGAGGACGUGGUAGAAAAAAACGAAGGAUCGACCGAAACAUCGGGCAUCGAUCGCUCUGCAGGGAGCAUUUGAUUCGCCACCUCGCUUCUUGGUUAUGGAGAUCGUUCAUCGCUUCUUUCCCCUUCUUUUACAGUGUGAACCAUCUUUUUAAAUCCAUCGGAUUUAAAUGAUUCACUUCUUUUCCUUCUUUUAAUCAUCACGAUCCACUAAUCCAAAAGGGAAUCACCCUAACUUCAGAUGUACAAUAUAGAUUAUGUUCAUUAAUGACUUGAUGAACC